rnacentral:rRNA from 1 species
GACGAACGCUGGCGGCGUGCCUAAUACAUGCAAGUCGAACGCAGUGGGGACGGGUGAGUAACACGUGGGUAACCUCCCAUCAGAGGGGAUAACACUUGGAAACAGGUGCUAAACCGAUACUGAUGGAUGGACCCGCGGUGCAGUAGCCAGUGGGUGGGGUAAAGGCUCACCAAGGCCACGAUGCGUAUCCGAUCUGAGAGGGUGACCGGCCACACUGGGACUGAGACACGGCCCAGACUCCUACGGGAGGCAGCAGUGGGGAAUCUUCGGCAAUGGAGGAAAGCCUGACCGAGCAACGCCGCGUGUGUGAAGAAGGUUUUCGGAUCGUAAAGUACGUUUGGUAGAGAAGCGGUAUCUAACCAAAAAGCCACGGCUAACUACGUGCCAGCAGCCGCGGUAAUAC